rnacentral:lncRNA from 1 species
AAGCAUUAAUGGAAAAAAUUGAUGAUCCUGGGAAGCAGUUAAGACAGUGCAUCCGCUUCAUUGGCUCGCAGGAAGUAUUUUUUCUCUUAGGAAUAUAAUUUCUGAAAAGCAGAUUUCUAGAAAGAAAAUGCCUGAAGAAAUACUUUUGGCAUGUUUGGUUGACAAUGGAAAAGUGACAGAUUUGCAUAGUGCUUAUGUUUGGUUGACCAUCUACUUUUCUAGAAAAGUUAUGUAUAAUUCCUAUUAUACCCUUAAUAAAAAUUAGGUUUUUAAUGCCUUUUUAAUGCUGAAGGGCAUUUUUGAAAAAAAAUAAAAAUGAAGUGAUUUCCGGUUAAUGGAAAAAUAACUUUUUCAUGUUUCUCAUGGGAAAUACUUUUCUAUAAAACAUGGGAAUUAUAUUUCCAUGGAAAUACAACUUUUCCUUCUCUCUCCUUUGAAAAUUUCAACCAAAUAAGAGGCAUCUCAUUACUUUUCCGUUGACCACACUUUUUCCCUUUUUUUCUAGGAACGAAACGAGCCCGUAUAACUAUUUUGGGCCUCAAAGGGAUGGUCGUAGCAAGUUUCUUAUAGAAUGUUCAGACUUUACAGAAGAAACGUGAUGCCAGUGCCUAUUGAUCGGAGUAGCCAAUUGAUUAAAGCAUGGUCCGAGG